UUGACCCGUAACUUCGGGAGAAGGGUCGCCUACUUUUAGUAGGCCGCAGUGAAAAGGUCCAAGCGACUGUUUAUCAAAAACACAGGACUCUGCUAAGUCGAAAGACGAUGUAUAGGGUCUGACACCUGCCCGGUGCUGGAAGGUUAAGUGGAGAUGUUAGCAUUUAUUUGCAAAGCAUUGAAAUGAAGCCCCAGUAAACGGCGGCCGUAACUAUAACGGUCCUAAGGUAGCGAAAUUCCUUGUCGGGUAAGUUCCGACCUGCACGAAUGGUGUAACGAUUUGGACACUGUCUCAGCCAUGAGCUCGGUGAAAUUGUAGUAGCGGUGAAGAUGCCGCUUACCCGCCACGGGACGAAAAGACCCCGUGCACCUUUACUAUAGCUUCGUAUUGAUAUUUGAUAAGUAAUGUGUAGGAUAGGUGGGAGACUUUGAUUGAGCGUCGCCAGGCGUUUUUGAGUCGUUGUUGAAAUACCACCCUUUACUUCUCGGAUAUCUAACCCUUUUUGGGAACAGUGCGUGGUGGGUAGUUUGACUGGGGCGGUAAGGGC
rnacentral:rRNA from 1 species